GAGACCUAAAGCUUGGUCUAUGUGCUUCUGCCACUCACGUCUGAGCCAUAGAAAAAUGUUACAACUUUACAAAGUGACUGUGAAUUUAAGUUAAACCCUCUGACAACAAAUUGGAGGACACACAAGCCUAAAAGAUGAACGAUACGGUGUUUAUACUUCUCCCUAGGAAGAGCCAUAGGCCUUGGGCCCCAUCAAGGGUCUCUCCUGGAGUUUCAGUCAAGAAGUCAGCUUGACUGGCUCUGGAAUAUUGGCUUCCACACUGGCUCCUUGCAUGGCUGGCAGGCUGAUGCUGGCUACUGAUGGCAGGCCUCAGUUUCUCUCUACACAACCCAUGGCUGCUUGGAUGUCUUCCCAUGCAACUGGCUUCCUCCAGAGCAGAUUUCAGAAGACAUGUGGAGAUAUCCAAUUUACUACAAAGAGUAAAAGGAACUGUACAGGUCUACAGAACUGACACUCGAGAUUAGUGAUGCCAUUUCCUGUAUCAAAAAUUCAAAAUCAUGAAAGUCACGAUGACUCAUGACAGAGCAGGACAUUGUGACGUGGCUCAUCUGGUACUAACAAGUAAAAAACAGGUCUCAAUUUUAGGAAAAACGUAAUUCAUUCUACAACUGACUUGGCUUGGCCAUUCCUAUCAUAAGAUGUGAAAGAAGAGCUGGAAAGCACAUCUGGUUACCUAUUCUAAUGGGUGCAGAAAUGGAUCUAACAGGAAGGGGAAGCCAUAUAAUACUCCCCAGGAAUGUUUAAAAGAGGAUUCUUCAGGCUUUCAUGGAAAACAGGAGUUUUAAGGGGACAUCCUAG
ensembl:lncRNA novel transcript